AGACCAGCAUAUGAACGAUGAUC
rnacentral:miRNA from 1 species